CUGGGCUCCUGGGAAGGAAGGGGUAUUUCUGUGCCACACUUUGAAGAAGGAUGAUCUUCCAACCUCUCAGUGCCCAGCUUGAGCUCAUUCUUCCAUCAAAGAGAAGAGAAAAAUGAAUGUUUUGGAGGUGGAGGAAGAUGGAGGAAACAGAAAAGGGAAAAGCUGCAGUAAUAUCUGGGAUCUUUUUGGAGUUUGGUGGUUUUUUUUUGCUCACAUACAGGCACUGCACCCAUGGCCAGAACCUAAUCCUGGAUGCCUCCAACUCCUGCCAAGAGCCUGGUCUGCUCCAGCCUUAAAAGGUGGUGAAAGGACACCGCCAGCCAGUGACAGAUCCUCAGCUGACAACAGCUCUGUUCAAACCAAAGGAAUUCUUUGCAGUAGGAUCCAAAGGACAGCACAUUCAUUUGCUAAACUCCUAAUUUUUUUUUCUGUUGUGGAAUGUAACUUCAAGACUUGGCUGACUUUUAAACAUGAUAUAAUUAACCAUGCCUGAAAAUGAAUUUAUAAAAAAAAAAAAAAAAAAGAUACA
rnacentral:lncRNA from 1 species